UACAGAGGGGGCAAGCGUUGUUCGGAAUUACUGGGCGUAAAGGGCGCGUAGGCGGCCUGCUAAGUCGAACGUGAAAUCCCUGGGCUCAACCCAGGAACUGCGUCCGAUACUGGUUGGCUUGAAUUCGGGAGAGGGAUGCGAAAUUCCAGGUGUAGCGGUGAAAUGCGCAGAUAUCAGGAGGAACACCAAUUGCGAAGGCAGCUCGCUGGGACGUGACUGACGCUGAGACGCGAAAGCGUGGGGAGCAAACAGG
rnacentral:rRNA from 1 species